UUGGAGGGCAAGUCUGGUGCCAGCAGCCGCGGUAAUUCCAGCUCCAAUAGCGUAUAUUAAAGUUGUUGCAGUUAAAAGGCUCGUAGUUGAAUUUCGGGAUUAGUACGCUGGUCGUGCCUUCGGUACGUACUGGUGUUACUGAUUUCUACCUUCUGACGAACCAUCAUGUCAUUAGUUUGGUGUGGUGGGGAAUCAGGACUGUUACUUUGAAAAAAUUAGAGUGUUUAAAGCAGGCUCGCGCUUGAAUACAUUAGCAUGGAAUAAUGAAAUAGGACGUUGAUCCUAUUUUGUUGGUUUCUAGGAUUGACGUAAUGAUUAAUAGGGAUAGUUGGGGGCAUUAGUAUUCAAUUGUCAGAGGUGAAAUUCUUGGAUUUAUUGAAGACUAACUACUGCGAAAGCAUUUGCCAAGGAUGUUUUCAUUAAUCAAGAACGAAAGUUAGGGGAUCGAAGACGAUCAGAUACCGUCGUAGUCUUAACCAUAAACUAUGCCGACUAGGGAUCGGAUGAUGUUAAUUUUUUAAUGACUCAUUCGGCGCCUUACGGGAAAC
rnacentral:rRNA from 1 species